rnacentral:lncRNA from 1 species
GAAGCAUUAUUUCUCUUUCCGUUUACAACUUUUUCUUUUCUUUUUAUUAAACUUUCUUUCUCACAAUAGUAUCUUUUUACAUCAACAAUUUGCAAUCCGAAGGAUUGAAGACAAUGGCUUUUCAGAUUGCGAAAAGAUUCCUUGGAGGCGGCGGUAAUUCAGUUGCACCGUCUAUUAGGUAUUUGGGUCGGACCUUCACUUCCGCAGCUUCCGAAUCCAACUUGAUCCGCGCUACUCUUUUCCCCGGCGAUGGUAUUGGCCCUGAGAUUGCUGAGUCUGUCAAGCAGGUCCGCUUCUCCUUUCUUCCUUUAUUGCUUCUGAUUUCUCUUGAUUUCGAUGGGAAUAUUGCGUUCUUUUGUUGUUUCCCUAGACUAGAUAUAUAUAAUUAGAUGCGGAUUAAUAUUCCCACUGCUUGCUUGCAGCAUCUGUUAAAAGAAUAAAUCAGAAUUUUGUUGCGUCAAUGUUUUAUUGUUCAUCCACUCUUUUUUGCCUCUAUUUUCUUGUAACAAAUUUGCACUUCGGAAUAUUAGAUAGUACUUGGUAGGUUGAACCUCUGGUUUGGCCGCUGUCUCUCCCUGUUGCACUCGCUAAAUGCUCCCUUUUCAUAAUUCUUGUCCAAUGUUGAAAUAGAAUUUUGGCCAAAGCAAAAUGUUGUAGCGUCAUCAUUUAUCUUUUUUGAUAAGAGUGAUAACCAAAAGGCUGUCUUGAGAUAAUGCUGUAACCUUUCUUCAUAAGGGUUGGACAUUUCCUCUUGUCGCGUGUUGUAAGUUUUUCUUAAUUUUAUGGUAAGACCCACUUGUGGGACUACACUAGGUAUGUUGUUUUUGUGCUUUAGUCCGAGGGUCCUUCCAAAACAGCCUCUCUACUUCACAAAGGUAGGGGCAAGGCUGUGUACACACUACCCCUACAGACCCCACUUUUGGGAAUAGCAUUGUUUUUGUUGUGCUUAUAUUGAUACUCGUACUAAAUCAUAAUUGCAGUAGAGAAAAUGCACUCUUUGGUACCACUACUAUAGCUUCUCUUUUUUGUUUUGGAUGAAAGGACAUGCUACUUCCCUUGUUGAUUAUGUUUCAGAUUUUCUUAUCAUCAAGUCAAAUCAUUUAGUAUUGAAAAGGACAAAUAAAUAUCCUGUCCUUAUUAAUUUUAUCAAGAUGUGUGAGUGUGGCAAAGAGUUCUUCUGCUAAUCCUGCCCGGAGGUUCACGGGCAUUAUGGUUGGUUAUAUUUUGCUAUUUUGCUUGGCAUUUUUCUUCUUGACUGUCCAUAAUAAUGAAAGUUGAUGUGUAAUCCUUUUGCAUUUUCUGGAUGCUAAAUGAAUAAAAGCUUCCUUGAUUUUAAAAAAAGUAAAUAAUGGAAGCUAAUGGUGGAUGUGCUUCCCUCAGAGACGGAUCCAGGAUUUAAAUUUUAAGGGUUCAACCUUUGAGGUUUUUAGCAUUGUCCCAAUUGUACUAAAAAAUCAUGGGUUUGUGUAUACCAUUUGUUGCAUUUUUCGUGAAGCUUUAAACAUAAGUUUAUGCUCUGCAUCGGAAGCACCGGGUUCAAAUGAAUCCGGUAUCGAUACUCUGCCUCUGACUCCCCUUGGAACGAGGCUUUCUAUUACUUAAAAUGUUGGGUUAUAAAUUGCUAAAUUCUAUUGAAUAGUACAGAUAUUCAAGGUUGCUGAGGUACCAAUUGAAUGGGAAGAACACUAUGUGGGGAAAGAGAUAGACCCUAGAACCAACAGUUUUCUAACAUGGGAAAGUCUUGAAUCAGUGAGACGGAAUAAGGUUGGUUUGAAAGGGCCAAUGGCCACUCCUAUUGGAAAAGGUCAUCGUUCCUUGAAUCUUACAUUGAGGAAGGAGUUAAAUCUAUAUGCCAAUGUUAGACCUUGCUACAGCCUACCUGGAUACAAGACUCGCUACGAUGAUGUGAAUCUCAUCACCAUUAGAGAAAACACCGAAGGAGAGUACAGUGGUCUUGAACAUCAAGUAAGUAUCUCUCUGUAUUAUUUAACAGAAAAUAGCUUAUUUCUUGAGAUCUUCAAAUUCAUAUGCAUUUGGUAUCCAGGUAGUAAGGGGUGUGGUUGAGAGUCUCAAGAUCAUCACCCGUCAAGCAAGUUUAAGGGUUGCAGAGUACGCAUUUCACUAUGCCAAGACCCACGGAAGAGAGAGAGUGUCUGCAAUUCACAAAGCCAACAUCAUGCAAAAGACAGACGGUCUUUUUCUUAAGGUCUUUCCUUAUGUCAGGUGUUUCGUUAUAGUUAUAUGUUUUAUGAACUAGCACUAUGGAGUUGACUUUCUUUCUUUCUAUCCAGUGUUGCCGAGAGGUUGCGAAGAAGUACCCUGAGAUAAAGUAUGAGGAAGUUGUCAUUGACAAUUGCUGUAUGAUGGUAUGAUCAAAGAUCAAUCACUUCAUUGUGACACCAGUCUUAUAGAUCUUCAUCUUAAUGAACAACCAUGAAUAAGUUCAAGAAUGUUUUAACAGUAUUGGACCGAGCCUCAUUUUAUAUCGGAAACAACCUCUCUACUUCUUCGGAGGUAGCGGUAUGGACUGUGUACAUUUUACCCUCCCCAGACCUCACUUUGUGGGAAUACACCGGGUUUGUUGUUGUUGUUGUUGUUGGACCAAGCCUCAUUUUAAGUUUCAUAAAUACUAUUUAGAAAAUUGAGGUGAAAUAACGUACUUCCUUUUCAUGCAUACAGCUUGUUAAAAAUCCAGCACUUUUUGAUGUUCUGGUGAUGCCUAACCUUUAUGGAGAUAUAAUCAGUGAUCUUUGUGCCGGUUUAAUUGGUGGUUUGGGCUUAACUCCUAGGCAUGCCUUUUUUCCUUUAAACCUAUCUGUUCCCUUGUGAGUUCAUUUUGUCUCGUUAUUCCUAAUGAUGUUUCUCCUACAGCUGCAAUAUUGGCGAGGGAGGUGUUGCUCUUGCUGAGGCCGUGCAUGGUUCAGCACCUGAUAUUGCCGGAAAGGUUUGUAUUUAAAUAGGAUAUCAUGUCCCAAUGCUUCUAUAAUCAGAAUCUCAUUUAACCAUCAACUAUUACAACGUUCAAUCAAUUAUUGGGUGGGUAUCUUGUAUCGCUCCCUAAAUAGAGGUCAACUUUUUGUGUCAUUUCAUAACUUUGAUGUUAAAAUAAAUAGUGAUUCAACGAUUUUUAAGCACUGAUAUUUCACUCCAUUCAAUUUUUAUUUAUGUACAACUCCAUUCAACUUGGGCACACUUACAUGCAUUCAUAUGUGCAUAUAUAUACAGACACACACACAUAUAUUUACACACAUGUGUGUUUUAUGUAUAUGUUUUGUAUUUCCUAUCUUUAUCUGAAAAAGUAACUUUAACAUUUCCUAGUUAGAAUAUUUAUAGCUGUAGUUACUAUUAUUUACUUUUUUGAUGUAGUUUUGCACUCACAUCGGGUAGGCUAAAUCAGCUUGCAGUCUAUUGAUGUGAACUAUAGGAGGAGUAUUUUCCAUUUAAUUUGUCAUGAUGCCCUUCAAUCCUAUUAGUAAUAAAUAAUGAAUGCACAAUAAUACAUAUUGGUGAUUAGUUUACGUUGAUAUCAGGCUUUGCUACUGAUGAGAACAAAACACACUAUAAAAUGAGUUCGUACUGCGUCAACUUCAGUAUGGAAAAAUAUCGUCUCCACAGGGAUUAGUUAAACAAUGUUCAAAAAGUUCUUGGCUUAAUGCUAUUUAGGAGAAUAAACAUUUAGAUUGAGAUGGUUAUAAACCAAAAGUAACUGACUUAACAUGUUAAUUAGUAAAAUUGAUCAGGAAAACUGAGAGUUUAGAUACAACAGUUAAUUAUCAAUUGAAGUAAGGGUUUACAAGACAUUUAUGACAAUUAUUGGUAUUACUGGUAAUAGAGCUCUUAUUUUUGUUAUGAUGAGAAUCAUAAUAUGAUCUCAAAAAAGCUUAAUCUCAUAUCUUAGCUGCAAUUUGAGUUCUGCUACUAUGUUAAGAUUCAAUGCGAUAGGUUUAUAUGUCUAAAGCAUUGUUUGGACAGGCAACACAUAAUUAUGAAGUGUUAGUCUAUUGGUGUUAUUAUUGAGGCAUUUUUAUGGAUGGUUGUCCAUGUAUCUUCACGUAUUCUAUUAAUAUUAUUAUUACAAAAAUUCAAAUAUAUAUAGAAAUAGAUUAACUAUUGUUGAGAUCUCUGUCAACUGGCACUAUAGAGAUUCUUCUGCAUCUCACUAUAACUACUGAAUUUAAUAACGUUUUGGGCUCUUCACUUCUUAACCAUAGCUUAAAUCAUUCUUGGCUGCUGUCUACCAUAGGAUUCCAAAAGCAAUUCUAGUUUUCAUGCACCAUCCUAAUGUCUUAAAAGAAUCUUCUUUGGUUAAACAUCUUGAGAGGUGUUACCGAAGCAUGCCAUCAGAUUGUACAAUUUCUUGAGUUGGUCAAUCUUCCGAUUAAAAAUUGCUGGAUGUGUUUUGAGCCGCAAAUAUGGAUUUAUUUGCGCGUCUCUAUUUGCCUUGGUGAUGGAUGAACUGACACAUCAUAUCCAAGGAGAGGUGGCAUGGUGUAUGCUGUUUGCAUAUGGCAUAGUUCUAAUUGAUGAGUAUGGGUGCUCAUGGUUUGGUGAAAAACCAAACAAAAACGUGAACUAAGACAAACCGAUUAUAAAAAAACCUACAGUUGGUUUCAUUUAGGUUUGAACUUUGAAAAAUGUCAAUAUUUGGUUUAGUUUUGGUUUUACUAAAAAAAAUAAAAAAAGGUUACCAAAUCAAACUGAUAAAUUAUGUACAUUAAUUUCAUAAUUAUUUGAAUAUCAGAUAUUAUUUUUUCAUAAAUAAUUAUAUGUAUUUGCCAAUUUCAAAAAUAAAUAAUUAUGAAUAUUUAAUAUCUUUUAAUCAUUAAAUUGAUUUUAGUUUACUUCUUUCCCAUGCACUACAACACUUUUAAAUUUCAUUUCUCAAAAAAUAUGCUUAAAUCUCGCACUCCUAAGUCUAAUUAUCUAUAUGUGGUGUGGUGUUGCCGGUUUUUAAUAAUUUUUACUAAGACAUCCAUUUACUUUUCGAUGACUUUCUCCUUUGAUUUUUGAAGGUUUGACCAUUUUAUUUAAAGCUGUAUAUUAACUCUGUGGAUGUUUACACAUGUGAAAUGGAGUAACUUUUACAAUUAUGCAACUAUUAAAGAUUCAAAUACAUUCAUCUUGUUGAUAUAUUUGUCUCAUGUCUCCAUUAUUUUAUUAUUAUCAAUUUAUCAUUAGCUAGUUCUUCUAAAAAAUUUCUGGUUGAAAAAAGAUCCUUUUAUGGAGGUUGUCAAACAAAGUAGGCAGGUUGACUUUUUAGUGAAUCCUUUUUCUGUGUAUCAAUUUAAAAUGAAGAAAGUCAAGGCAAUUUCACAGUGGAGCAAAGCAACAUUUGGUAAUAUCUUUCAGGAAAUUGCCACUUUGGAGGAGGUGAAUAAAGUGCAGGAAAUGCAAUUUGAGAGGAAUCCAUCAAGUGCAAAUAGAGAGAUUACAUGAAGCUCAGGCAAAACUGAACAGAUACUUACACAGAGUGGAGGAGUUUUGGAAGCAAAAAGUAGGAAAGGAGUGGUUUAAAGACGGGAAAGGAACACCAAAUUUUUUCAUACUGUAGUUAGUGGGAGAAGAAGCAGAUUGAGGUUGACUAGAAUACAAUAUGAAGAAGGGGAAUGGUUGGAACAACAGGAAGAUAUUGCAGAAGCAACAAUGCAAUUCUAUAAAGACCAAUUCAAGAAACAACCACGUAGUACCAAUUUUGAUAUGCUGGAUGAGCUACCCACUGAAAUAGGAAGUGAAGAAAAUAAUCAGUUGCAAAGCAUGCCAACUAAGGAGGAAGUACAUGAAGUAGUCUUGGGAUUAAAUGGAAAUAGUGCAAGUGGGCCAGAUGGAAGCUUUCUAUCAAGAUACAUGGGUGAUAAUUGGAGAGGACAUUUACAAGAUGGUACGGUCUUUCUUCCGUGGAGCAGAACUUCCUAGGUUUGUAACUCAAACAUCCUAAGAAGGUGAUGGUGAACACAUUUUCUGACUUAAGAUCCAUAUCUCUAAGAAAUUUAAUCAACAAAAUAUUCUCUAGGAUCUGGAAGAAUCAAGGCAGUAUUUCCUAGGAUCAUCUCUAGUGAACAAGCUGGUUUUGUAGAGGGACGAAGUAUUGCCGAAAAUGUAUUGUUGGUACAAGAGAUCAUAGCUGAAAUCAGGAAAAGGGGUAAACCUCGUAAUCUGGUAAUCAAGCUAGAUAUGAUGAAAGCUUAUGAUAGAGUAGAAUGGUAAAUUGGUGUUAGUGGAAGGAUAGUUGAUAUGGUGUAUAGGUUGAUAGUAAACAACUGGUACUCAAAUCUUGUUGAAUGGUCAGCCUAAAGAAUUUUGCAGUUCAUCCAGAGGACUGAAACAGUUACUCUGCUCUUCUAGCAGCUGAGGUUCUAUCUAGAGCACUAAACUCUAUACCGAUGAAAAAAGAGUAGGUUUGGCAUGCCAAGAGGAAGCCCAGUAAUAAAUCACGUGGCCUUUGCAGAUAAUGUGAUAAUUUUGUGCAAAGUAGAGGCAAGUAAUAUGAAAAUGGUGGCUGACACACUGAAAAAGUACGAAGGAGCAUCAUGCUAGAAGAUCAACAAGGAAAAAAGUGCCAUCGACAAGCAUCAUAAUGCAUCAGGAAGGGAUGUGAUAUUAGCAGAAGUAGCAAGGGGCAUACUAAGGAAAGACUUUCCCUUUACCCACUUAGGGUGUCCUAUUUUCUACAGGAGAAAGCAAAAGGGUUACUACAAUUAGAUGAUCCAAAUAAUCAGCUCCAAACUACAUGCAUGGAAAGGAAAGUCAUUAUCUUAUGGCGAGAGGGCAAUUCUGAUUAAGCAUGUGUUUCAGAGUAUUCCUAUACAUUGCUUGUCAAUUAUGAACCCUCACUCAAAAUGUGUUGAACCAAAUUCAACAGCUAAUGACACAAUUUCUUCGGAGUAGCUAUAUUGGAGGUAAAGGUAGACAUUGGAUUAAGUGGAGGAAUUUAUGCUUACCAGAGGAAGAAGGAAGAUUAGGUUUCUGAUCAAUCAAAGAUGUAUCCAUGGCAUUGUUUCGUAAAUUGUGCUGGAAUUUCAGAACCUAAAACUUCAUUUGGAGUGAGUACAUGAAAAACAAAGUCCAUUGUAAUUUGGUAAUAUGGAAAAUGAGAAGGGGAGGAUCACAGGUAUGGAAGGAAAUGCUGCAAGCUAGAGACUUGGUAGAGCAUCAAAUCUAGUGGAACAUUAAAAAAAUGAUCCUCUAUAGUGUGGCAUGGCAUGAUAAUUGGACUGGGUUGGAAGAUUUGUAUACUUACACAGGGAAUGUAGCAACUAAGAAUGGAGAACUGGACUUAGAGAUACUGGGUGGAAUGUUUACUGCUGAGGUAGUGGAACAUAUGGUGCAAAAUGUUAAGCCACCCAAUCAAGAAAGUGAGUGUGACAGACCAUAUUUGAUGCUGAGUAUAGAAGGGGUGUUCAUAGUUAAGUCUGAUAGGGAAAACCCAAAUAAGAUAGUAUAAGUCGAUAUGGAUCAAACGGUUACCAUUCAAGAUUAUAUUUUCAUGUGGAGGCUCUGGAAAUUUAAAAUUUCAAUGGAUGACAAAUUGAGGAGAUGGGAAAUAAACCUCUAGAUGUUUGGUGCUGAAAUCCAAAUCAAGAGACACUAGCAUAUGUUUUCUUAAGAUCAUUUAUUGCUAACAUGAGAUGGUCCUACUUUUGCUCUUUUGCAAGAUUGAAUAUUGAAGGCCUUAGUCUAAGAGCGGUGAUCAUGCUAUGGUGGGGAACUGAAGUGAAGAAAGAUCUUAAACCAUACUAUAAAACUCUUCCAAGCAUUAUAGUAUGGGAAAUGUGGAGGAAUAGAAACAUUAGCCAACACGAAGGGAAGAGGUUGAUUGUUUUGAGGAUUAUUCAUAAUGUCGUCAGAAACAUACAUAUGCUACUCAGAAUGAGAACCUUCUAGGGAAUUGACGAGGAACGCUAAAGGAGCUAGAUGAAUUCAAACCUAAGGUGAAGGUCAUCAAAGAAUUAUGGGAGUUUCCCUAGAAGGAUGGGUCAAUUACAAUACUGAUGGAGCAUCCAAAGGAAAUUUGGGGGUAUGUUCUUAUGCCUUUUUUGCCUAAGAGAUGCUAAUGGUGAUCUACUAUAUGCAAAGGGGACUACUUCAGAUAACACUACUAACACAGUGACAGAAGCAACAUCUACCCUAGAAGCUAGUAAACAUUGCAAGUUGACACAACAUAACAACAUCAUAGUACAAACAAAUUCAUUACUUCUUUAUAAAGUUCUAGAUGGUGAGUGGGCAUGUCCAUGGAGCAUUACCAACAUGAUUGCAGAUAUAAAUCUCAUUCUUGCAAAAAAGCAAACAAAAUUUUAGCAUAUCAUUAGGGAGGGCAAUCAACUUGCAGAUUACCUAGCAAUCAUGCAUAUGCUACUCAGAAUGAGAAAACCUUCCAGGAAAUUGACCAGGAAUGCUAAAGGAGCUAAAAGGAGCUAUAUGAAUUCAAACCUAAGGUGAAGGUCAUCAAAGAAUUAUGGGAGUUUCCCUAGAAGGAUGGAUCAAUUACAAUACUGAUGGAGCAUCUAGAGGAAAUUUGGGGGUAUGUUAUGCUUUUUUUUUCCUAAGAGAUGCUAAUGGUGAUCUACAAUAUGCAAAGGGGACUAUUUCAGAUAACACUACUAACACAGUGACAGAAGAAACAUCUACCCUAGAAGCUAGUAAACAUUUCAAGAUGACACAACAUAACAACAUCAUAGUACAAACAAAUUCAUUACUCCUUUGUAAAGUUCUAGAUGGCGAGUGGGCAUGUCCAUGGAGUAUUACCAACAUGAUUGCAGAUAUAAAUCUCAUUCUUGCAGAAAAGCAAAUAAAAUUUCAGCAUAUCAUAAAAGAGGGCAAUCAACUUGCAGAUUACCUAGCAAAUCUAGCAAUAGAUAAAGGUAACUACAUUUUUGUGCGUUUUAACAAUAUGGAAACAAUAGGAAAGAAGAUCAUCAACAACGACAACCUAAAGUUUCCGUACGUAAGAGUAUCACCUAUUAAUGGAUAAUGGGGUAGGGAAGGCUAAAACACAAGGUUUUUCACUUGACCAAUAUUUAAAUAUCCACAAAGGGUUCAAAAAAAGUGAAAUGCUAUAUAGCCUACACUACUUCAACUAUCAAAAUGGACUCGGCAAAAUGGGAAGGUUCUAGGGUCGAUUUAGUAAUGAUAAAUUUGGAGGUUGAUUUGCUCACUAUGGGGUGGAUGUGUCGAGCUUCCCAUGCACUCAACAUCGAAUCCACCUGCAAAGGGAGAUUGGUCAGAACUAUACCACAAAAAUGCAAAGGGAGGAGUAUUGAAGCUUACCUAGUAGAACAAGUCCACUUCCGCUGACGGGAGCUUUCAGCAAAAUAUGUAAAACAUAUCCACCCACCGAAGAACACAGCUAAGAAGGAAGCAACAGCCAGUGAAAGAAAUCAAAAAAGACGGCAAAACUGGAGAGAAGAAUACUUACUCUUGAAAGCUGAUUUUUAAGCAAAUCGAGCUCCCAAAGGAAGAGUAUUGAUGAUCCAAAGAAAUGGGAGGAGAAACCAUAUGCAGCGGCAACAUUGCUCAGGUGUGGAGGUGUGGAGGGGCAAGGAAAAUGUUAGGUUGAAAGUGAGAAUAGGAAACCCUAUUUUUUGGGUAUAUGUAAUAAAAUGGAAGCGGGUUGGGCUUGCUUCCGGGUGGCUGAGUGGGGCUUUAGGAUUAUUUUAAAUUUGUUGUGUUUGUUUUAUUGUGUCUUGUUUUGUUUUUGGCCUGCUUGGCCUACAUGUUUGUACUUUUAUUUGAUUAAGUAAUAAAAGCCCAAAAUUUGAUCUAAAAAGAUUAUCUUAAGCAGUUAUAAACUGGAAAAAUCGAACCAAAUUGACAAGAACCAAAUCGAUGGUUAUUUUUUUAUUUGGUUUGGUUUUAGAAAUUUAAAAAUUGACUAAAUUGGUUUGAUUUUGAUUUUAAUCAAAAAUCGAUCCAAAUUGAACCAUGAACACUCCUAGAUGUGACAUGUGGUAGAGUUAAUGCCAGGUUGGAGGUUUGGAGAAAAGACUUUAGAGUCUAGAGGGUUCAAGUUGAGCAUGACUAAGACGAAAUAAAUGGAGUGCAAGUUCACUGACGUUAUUCACAUGACAGACGUGGAAGUGAGGACCAAUACGUAAGUUAUCUCCAAUAGAGGAAGUUCAAGUAUUUGGGUCAAUAAACCAAGGGAAUAGGGUGAUUGACGAGGAUGUUACACAUCGUAUUGGAGUGGGGUGGAUGAAAAGAGGAGGAUGUUACAUCGUAUUGGAGUGGGGUAGAUGAAAUGAGGGCGUGGUGUGUGAUAAAAAUGUGCUCCCAAGCCUUAAAAGUAAGUUCUGUAAAAUGGUGGUCAGACCAACUGAUGUAUGUAAUGGAGUGUUGGCCGGUCAAGAACUUGUACGUUCAGACGAUGAAAAAAAAGCAGAAAUAACGAUGUUGAGAUGGAUGUGUGGGCAUAUUAGAAGUGAGAGAAUUAUGAACGAAGAUAUUUGGGAUAAGGAGGAAAUGACCUUCGUGGUGGACAAGAUGAAUGAGGUGAAAUUGAGAUGGUUUGGGAAUGUAAAUAGGAGAUGCAAGCAUGCCACCAUGAGGUGUGAGGGCUUGACUAUAGUAUAGUAGAUAGGAGGAGGGGUAGAGGUAAGCUGAAGAAGUAUUUGGGAGAGGUGAUUAGACAAGACAUGACGCGCCUGGAAUUUACCGAGGGCUUGACCCUAGCCAGGAGGAUUUGGAGGCCGUAUUGUGUUUUUAACUCUCCUAUCUUAUUCUUCAGUUUUAGUGCAUCGUGGACUUCAGUUAUUAUAUUGUUUUUUGUUGCUACUGUUUUCUUCAUUGUUUUUAGUAUGGAUUGUCACUACUAUAUUUGCUUUACCUACUUGAUUUUUGAUAUGCUUUACUUGAGCUGAGGGUGUGCCAGAAUCAGCCUCUCUCUCUACCUGUUCAAGGUAGGGGUAAGGCUGCCUACACACCACACUCCCCAGGCUUCACUUGUGGGAUUACACUCUUAUGUUGUUGUAUAGAGUUGGUAUAAAAUCUGCCUAGAGAUGAUGAUUUAGGUUGUGGAUAAGUUGGAGACUGGUGAGGACACCUAAUAAAUUACCUAUUUUAUGAAAAGACGACCACUUUUUGUUUACUAGGGAUUGACAAGACGGGGUGGGGUGGGGCUGCCUUGGCUCUCUUAAGAUUUUGACCGCCUUGCCCUGCCCCAUUCAAUCUUUUUUAAACUGUUUUUUCAUUUUUUUUUCGUGAUUCACAUCCUUAUAUGAAAUUAGGCUCAUUCAAAUCUUAAAAUAAAAUUGAGACAGAAAAUUUGAUGGUUUCUGUAUCAGUACUGUUCCGCUAAUUAGUCCUGUAGCUGGAAUAUGAAAAAUCUGAACCUUGUGAACAAUUUUUUUAUUCUUUUAAAGAAAUGUUUUUCCAGAAGCUUUGUAAAAACAAUUUAUUUUUGUUGAUAUUUCCUAAAUGGAUAGUAUAAUCCCAUCCUAUUUGAAAUAAAACAGAGAUCUAAAGUGUGUCAAGAAAGCCAAAUAAACAUGCAAAAGUUUCAUCUAUGGAGAUAUACAAACAACUAACUAAUACAUUGAUGAAAGAAGAACUAUAAAUGGAUAACAGUUGUGCCUCCCCACCUGCCCUGCUCCAUUUAAAACGUUUCAAAACAAAUUUUGCCCUGCUCCGCCCUAAUUUCCAUUCCUAGUGUUUACCUCUAUGUCAAAAUGAAGUGAAGUGGGCAUCCAUUAAACCUUUACUAAUAUCUGUGGUACCUAAUUAACAAACAUGGACAUCCUUGCGUAUGUGCUUCUACUGAAGUAGCAAAUAAAAUCAGCAGCAUGCAUCUCCGUGCCGUAGGAAAUAAAGUGAGAGGUUACUGAGCAUUAUUAUUCUUGCCAGGCUUAUGUGUUUUGCUUUCUUUACGCACCAAGAAAUAGAGAAUUAUUUUUUACAGUUAUUCCUUUUCUUGGAGCGACGGGAGAUUCGAGCAACAUUAAAGUUGCCUCCAUGUGACCUAUAGGUCACACUGUGGAAUCAGCCACUGAUGUUUGUGUUGGUGUAGUCAGCCUGCAUUACAUCCCCUUGGGUGCGACCCUUCCCCCGACCUGCAUUAACAAGGGAUGCUUCGUGUACUGAGCUGUCCCUUUUUUUUUAAAAUUCUUUUUACAUUCUGCAUAUGAGGUCCCUGUUUUCCCCCUUUAUAGAACUAAAUGUUGAAUGAGAAGCAACUGCAAAAUAUAUUCUUGUCUUAAUUAGAGGAUUCUUAUUUGAAUUCUUUUUGGUAGGGCUGUGCAAAUUUCGGCUUCAAACCGUUAACCCGAACCGAUAAUUUGGUUAUCGGUUAACAGUUCGGUUUUUUUAGUUAGCGGGUCGGGUGUCGAUUUUAAAAACUCAAUUAACGGGUUAUCGGUUCGGGGCUCGGGUUCUCUAAAUUUUUAUCGAGCCACCCGAUAACCCGAUAAAGGUAAUACACCAGUACACCUAAUUACACACUGGUCUGGCCCCAAUUAUAAUUCCCACCCAUAUUUCCCGUUCCACUAGUGGCCCAAAUCCCAAGCCCAAAUUCCCACCCAUUACAAUAUUACAUUACCCGUUCCACACCCAGUCACCCAUUACUCAUUUAUGACUAGGGUUAGAGAAUAGAUUAUAGAGAUCAAAAAUCCAAAAUCUUUCAAUUUUCACUCUGCAGCUCUGCCUCACUCGACACUGUCUUAGCGCUUCUAUCUCAAUAUUCAGAAUUUUUGCUGGCUUCUCUCUCAAUAUUCAGAAUUUUUGCUGAAAUCUCAAUUUGAAGCUCAAGUUUUACUGAUAUUCUGUAGAGACCAAAGAAAUUUUUGCUUUUGCUCUCAACAGGUAAGAGUUUUUUCCUUUGCUCGAAGCCUCGAUCUUAUUCUUAGAAGUUUUCUUCUCCAUCUUCAAUUUCUGUCCAUGUACUCUUUGUGUCUUGCAGUAUUGUGAAUAUGAUGUUGGUACUGGUAGUGCUCCUGCAGGUGUGUGUGGUUGAAUGAAUUCUUGAAAGUAUUGUGAGUUUGGUUUAAAGUAUUCUUUUAUGUAUACAAGAUGAUCUUUAUGGUGUCACAUGAUCUAAUUUUUUAGUUCUCAAGUAUAACUGCGGAGAAACUAAGAAUUCCUAGAUACUAUUGAUGUUGCAAGUGCAAUAGCGAAAUGCUAAUAGGUCUGGGAUAUCUGCUGGACAGGAGGAACUGCUGUUGUUCUUAACCAUUUUUGUUUAUAAUGUGCACAAAUUACUGGCAUAGGAUUAAUAUUUUGAGCCUAUCUUGUUUCACUGCAAAACUGCUUUGGACUAUAACUUUGUUGUUUGAAGUGUGGCUGCAAAGUUGUUUCUCCACUGAUAAUUCUAUGCUAAAUAUAAGGUCAAAGAGAUUGUGGUUAGAUAAACAGAUAUAGAUACUAGUGGAGCCUAACACAUCAGAUCAGUGUUAAGUUCACUUCCAGUAUUUGUAGUCAUGUACUCCGUUCCAACAGAGAGUGUAUCAUGAUCUAUUUUGAUCGUUGAAUGCACCUUAUGCCAUCAUUUUUAUCCCUAUUAGUAAUCGUAAUCAUAUUUAGCUGAAGUGUGUGUAAAAGGUGUAUCCCUGGAAUAGUCAUUAGAUUUACAAUUUUGUUGCCAGGUGUCAGCCAUGUCACUUUCCUGAGUGUUUUUUUUCCUGGCGUGGUGUUGUUACUGAUAGUUCCUUUCUUCUUUGUGCCAUUUUGUGUAAUUGGUGUAACUGCAAGUUUUUGUUCAAAUCCCUGAAGGUCUUGACUGUAUGUAUUUGCGUAAUAGACUUCCCAACCAUUGAAGACAAACACUGUUUUGCGUGUGAAGUUCUUUAUCUGAUUUUGUUUACUGCUUGCUGUUGUGUUGCCAUGUUAUUUUGGGAUGAAUAAAUGCAUCUAAACAUAGUACUGUAUGUUUGGAAAAUAUUUUGAAUGUUAACGGUUUAACCCGAUAACCAACCCGAUAACAAUCAAUAAGCGAUAAACCGAUAUCUUAAUGGUUCUUUUAGCUUUAUUACAAACCGAUAAUCAAUAUGUAAAACCGAUAAACUUCAAAACCGAACCGAACCGACCGAUAUGCAGCCCUAGACUUUUUGGUGUCUAUGAAGACGACCACACCUAAAUUGGAAAAUGAAUUAAGGAUGUACAGAGUGUAUGCUUGACACACAUCCAUAUUAUAUAUAAUAUGCCUCCAGAGGUACUCUGUUGUUCAGCGACACUCAUUUUUUUUAAAUGUGGUUCACUAUCUUUCUCUGCCAUUCACUGGGCAUGCGCCCUCCACCCCCCCUCUCUUUUUCCUAUUAAUUGAUCUGUUUUGACCCAAAAUUAUGAUUGCAGAAUUUGGCAAAUCCAACUGCUUUGCUUUUGAGUUCUGUCUCCAUGCUUCGUCAUCUGGAGCUUCAUGAUAAAGCUGAUCGCAUUCAGGAUGCCAUCCUAAAAACAAUUGCAGAGGGAAAGUAUCGAACAGGUGACCUUGGUGGUACCGCAUCAACAACUGAGUUCACGAAUGCCAUCUGCGAUCAUCUUUGAACUUGUUGGUCCGCGUGUAUAUUAUAUUUUGCAAUGGGUUCAACUAAGGGGAUGUAUCUUUCAAAGAUGCAAUUGAAAUUAUUUUAUUGCUUUUGGCGACUUAACUAUAUUUCCUUGGGUUUUAUAGAAGUUUGCAUAAUGAUAUCAGAAUUCAUUCUCAAAGGAUAUGGAAUAGCAUCAACCAGUAAUGGGUGGCUUCCAUGUUAAUUUGCAAGGAAUAAGAGUUUCAUUCUAUCAUUAUAGGUUUUCAAUUUUCUUUUCCUCAAGUAUCUACAGAGCAAUGGCAGAUCUUUGUUGGUAUUCUUAUAUUGUAGGAGUUAUGUUGAACUUGGUAGGUUUUCAGGACUUUCAGUGGAUUGUUUGAUAAAUUCAAUGUCAUGCUAAAAUAUAAUGUACAUUUUGAUCAUUUACUGUGGACUACUAAAAUCUUUGAUGUCUUUCUGUUUGAGAUAACUAUAUUUCUGGGUGAUGGUGUAGAUGCGCUUGUUGUCAAUUGCUCAUGGAAAUUGUAAAACACAAGUGAACUGUCAAUUAAUUAAACCAUGUUAUUUUUUCUGGAACAUCAUUGUUGAGUGACAUCCAUAGUCAGCCCCUUAAGCUAGUUUAGUUUCGGCGUACGCUCCAAUGUUAAUAAAUGUAUGCCUAUUAAAUACUAUAUGACCACAACCCCAAAAAGUAUGCCGCGUAGAACUCACACCUGGGGUAGAGCAAAAUGAUGAAUGAAAUCAUACAUGUGGCAUAUGGACUCACAUAAUUAUUAAACAUUAAAUUUUGAAUUUAAAAAAGGGAAAAGGAUAUGGGAUGAUCAUUGUUUUUAAAAAAUGAUCCAUAAUUGAAAAGAUGGACAUGCUGUAGCCAGUCAGCUAAAGUAAUUGGGUUAUUCUCAAAUAUAGACCCAAAUUAGAGUGACUUUUAAAUUUUUGCCCCAAAUAAAAAGGCUUAGUUAAAAUAGCCUUAACUUGUUAAGGCAUAUUUUCUUAGACGAAAAUACCCUUCUGCAAGCCGUUAAAUCUCUUUCAUCCAACUUCAGCUUAUAUUUGAGAAUAAUUCGUUUCUUCCACAUUUCAGAAUCGAUCUCCAAAAAAUUCGUUAUUAAAUCUCUUUCUUCCAAAUUUCACAAUCGACUUUCAAACAUUCGUACUCGACUUUAGCCGUAAGGGUUCUUCAGGUAUGAAUUUCAUCAUCAAAAUUCAUUGUGGUAAUUUUAGCUUAUUGAUGCAUUGUGGUAAUUUUAGCUCGUUAUAUAAUUAACAUAUUGAUUUAAUUUUUGGGGAGGUGAACGUAAACUGAAGUUGGGAUAUGGUGUUGUUGUAGUAACAUAUUUACCAUUGAGGAAUUGCGUCGAACAGGUUAUGGGGAGUUUGUUAUUGCGGUUAUAAUUGUGUUUGAGUAGUUGUGAGGGGGUCGGUCUUGGAGGGAAAGGCCGUUAAUAUGGGAGUUAACAUUGAUCGCAACAGAUUUUGGGAAGACCAAACGCAUAAAGGUCAAGGUGGUACAAGAAAUUAGUUUCAAGUAUUUCAAACUAGUGGUAUAAUUAACAUUAGAAGAUGAUGAGGAAUUGUGUCGAACAGGUUGUGGGGAGUUUGUUAUUGCAAUUAUAAUUGUGUUUGAGUAGUUGCGAGGGUUUGGUCUUGGAGGGAAAGGCUAUGUUUUCCAUCUAGGAUGAAUCCAACCUAUGUUUUAGAGAUUAAAGAAGCACUUACUUGUUGAUUCUAAGAUAGAACACCUUAGCUAUUAGCUUGUAUAACAUAGAACAACAAACAAUGAAUUUAAACUCUCUAAUGGUAGUAGGAUUUGUCACUUUAGGUAACAAGGUUACUAUUAUACAACUUUUCAGUGUUAAAGAAAAUCCUUCAUUGUUGAACACACAUCAUAUUUAUAUUCAUUGACCAUUUGUUGUUGAACCAUGCUUACCUAGAUAUGUUGGAAUAAUCACUGGUGUUUCUGGCAACUUCUUUUGUCUCAAAAUCGCAUGUUUCUGUUGAAUCGUUAGAUAGAAUCUCCUGAAAGUCAAUUGCCCUUGCUCUUUUUCUGCUCUUUCUGGGAUGUCUGCUUCUCUUGCUGUCGUAUUUCAUAUUAUCCGGUCAUAUAGCAGGAGAGAGUUCCCAGGGAUAGAGGCUCCUUGCACUGGGAAUCCUCACGUUUCUCCUGGGUAAGUCAAAAACAUACAUUAAUAGAUACUACUUUGGAUCCGUAAGCUGUUAUUCUUUUGCUCAUAAUUGUUCGAUAUAUCCUCGAGGAGAGUGUCAUAGUUCAUAAAUACAGAAUCAAUUUGUGGAUGCACCAUUGAUUUGACAGCCUAAUUUACAGUUAUGUUAACAAGGUAACUUCCAUUGAAUUUGCAGCAGAAUAAUGAGAUAGCAAAUGGUAGGCUACUUGUUACUGUAUUUGUCCUCUCUGUAGUUGCUAGAAACAUCAUAUCAAGGUGAUUGUAGAUCUGCACUGAAAAUGGUCAUACUAAAUCGAUUUUUUAGGAUGUCCAUUACAUCUUGCAAACUUCUGCAAUAGAUAAUAGAUUCUACUUCGUCAUAUUUUCUCCGUUUUGUUUAAACAGUCUUGAGUUUAACACGCUACACUUCUAGUUGCAUAUUUUCUUUAUUCAAGUUUUCAUAUUCGCUUUUUUCAUUAAUUAAUUGAUUACACUACUUCCAACUAUGUUUGAAGGUUUCUAUGAGACGCUGAUUGCAUAUUACUCUUGGAGAGGUGCUAAAGGUUAUCGAUUUACUGCCAUCCCUGACUAUUGAAGUCUUCAAACUUCAUGUAAACUCUCAAUGUAGUUACUAGUUUCUAAAAUGAGUUUUGUUAUAGUUUGUAUUUCUCGCACGCGUUUUGUCCUUCACACUUCAAAAAACUUCUAAAUGCUGAACACGCAUCAUAUUUAUAAAAUUUUUUGGCUGUAUCCGGUGAGGCGAAAAAUAUAUUCAACAAAGCAUUAACCGAAAAUCAGAAAGGCAAAACAAAUACUAAAAUAAUAAGAUUCUUAGUUUAAAAACUAAAAUAAGAUUCUUGUUACUUUUUUUCUUUCAUAACUGCACUAAAAUACAUGAGGUUUGAAUCACCUAACUUAUACACAUAGCCCUGGAUUUUUAUUGUAACGUGCUCUCUUUAAUAUUGCUCCACUUCUCAAUAAUAGUCAAUAUAUCAUUUCCUUGCAACAUCAUACUAUCAGAGUAUUGAGUUGAUAAACUAUGUUGUAUCACUUGCAACCUAUCUCUGAAGUAAACAACCCUCUCCGAAUUACCCCUAUAGUAUGUGUUACUUAGUAGUUUUAGGUGCGAUUUUAGCAUCUUCGGAUUCUGCCAUAUAUUUCAAGUUAUGCCCCAUGGGCAAGAAUUGACACUUCCUUAGUCUGUAAUGAUUUGACAGAUGACCUAUAACUCUUGCUCUAGAGGUAAGACUGAGACAGUUAUGCCCCAUGGGCAAGAGUUGACACUGUCAUAGUCUAUAAUGAUUUGGCAGAUGAUCUAUAGCUCUUGCCCUAGAGGCAAGACUUUGACAGUUAUGCUCCAUGGACAAUAGUUGACUAUGCCUUACUCUUUAAUGAUUUUACUUGUUGAAGAUAUAUAUUCUAAAUUAAAUUGUUACUAAUCUUUUGUUGUUUCAUUUUUCCCAAGGGUUGUGCAUGAAAUGAAUGGAAAAGAAAUGAGUAUUGAGCAAUAUAAUAUGGAACAAUCAAUUGAAAUUAUUGAUAGAAAUAACGAGUUACAGGUUAUCGAAUCAAUAUUGGAGGCUGCAAUAGAUGAAGAAAUGGGGCAAUCAUCAAAGAUUAAGAGGGUACGACAAAAAAAGAAGAGGAUACUCUAUGUCGAGACUACUCUCUUGAGACACAAUGCCUCUUUGAAUGAGGUAAGUGUUAAGUCGAUCUACAUUGACAAACAAAAUAUGAUGACGUGCAUGUCAAACAUUGCAAUUACAUACAACAUCCAAUUUAAGGUUAUCAAAUCAAGCAUAGUAAGAUAUUCACUGCCAUGUUUGGACGACAACUGUGUGUAGAGAUUUCAUGCCUCGAAGAUUCUCAAUUCUUUGCUCUUUCAGGUUACUACAUAUGAAAAGGCUCACAGUUGCUCGGUUGAUUUUAUAACGUUCGACCACGAGAAUGCAAUAUCAAAGGUCAUAUGUGACUACAUACUAGAGCUUGUGUGUGACUCUGGUAACGUAAUCACACCAAUCUUCGUGGUAGAUGAAAUGAGAAGAAAAUACGAAAUAAUCAUAUCAUACAACGAAGGAUGGCGAACGAUACAGUAUGCCUAUACGGUGAUAAGAGUAACCGCGGAAGAGAACUACAACAGGUUGCCAUCAUAUCUUCACAUGAUGAAAGAAAAUAACCCAGACACGUACAAAAACAUAAAGAGGGACAAUGAGAACAGGUACAAUGCUAUACUGUUGAAAUUGAAAACUUUUACCCAAGAGGCAAAAGUUUAUUCUUUAAUUACACUGAUUAAAUUAUUAACAUAUAUGCAACUCUUGUCUCAUAGGCAAGACUUAGUUUAAAAAAUUAUUGAAAUUGAAAACUUUUGCCCAAGAGGGAAAAGUUUAUUCUUUAUUUGCACUGAUUAUUAUUAAUAUAGAUAGAACUCUUGCCUCAUGGGUAAGACUUAGUUUAGAAAAUUGUUUUACAAAUGUUAUACUGUUGAAGUUGAAAACUUUUGCCCAAGGGGCAAAAGUUUAUUCUUUAAUUGCAUUGGUUAGAUUAUUAACAUAUAUGCAACUCUUGCCUAAUGGGCAAGACUUAGUUUAGAAAAUUGUUGAAAUUGAAAACUUUUGCCCAAGAGGCAAAAAUGUAUCCUUUAUUUGCACUGAUUAUAUUAUUAACAUAGAUUGAACUCUUGCCUCAUGGGCAAGACUUAGUUUAGAAAAUUGUUGUACAAAUGCUAUACUGUUGAAGUUGAAAACUUUUUCCCAAGGGGCAGAUUAUUAACAUAUAUGCAACUCUUGCCUAAUGGGCAAGACUUAGUUUAGAAAAUUGUUGAAAUUGAAAACUUUUGCCCAAGAGGCAAAAAUUUAUCCUUUAUUUGCAAUGAUUAUAUUAUUAACAUAGAUGGAACUCUUGCCUCAUGGGCAAGACUUAGUUUAGAAAAUUGUUGUACAAAUGCUAUACUGUUGAAGUUGAAAACUUUUGCUCAAGAGGCAAAAGUUCAUUCUUUAAUUGCACUGAUUAGAUUAUUAACAUAUAUGCAACUCUUGCUUCAUGAGCAAGACUUAGUUUAGAAAAUUGUUGUACUCUGAUUAUAAGCAUCAAAUGCAAAUUGUUAUUAAUAUUCUUUUGCUCAACACAGGUUUCAAUAUGCAUUUUUUGCUUAUGACGCUUCAAUCAUUGGAUGAACCAACUGUAGAUCGGUAAUAAUGGUAGAUACAAUAUUUUUGAAUUCAAAAUAUCGUGGUGUCCUCAUGAUAGCAAUGUCAAACUCUAAAUCUGAGAUAUUACUUUCCGCAAUCACCUAUUCUGAAAUGUUGCAUUCCCAGAGUACUUGGCAUUGAAACUUAGACCCCCUGCUUUGCCUUUUUUUUUCAUUUGACGGAGGGCAACAGGAUUACUGAGAUUGAGCAAUGUAAUAUUUUAUAAAUUUUUUUCCUACAAUAGCUCAUCCAUGUUUUGCAGAAAUUCAUUCCUCAUUGCAUAUCUUAAUACAACAUUUUAUUUUUCAGGGGAAUAUAAGGGCAUACAUACAUAGUACGUUCUUGUUCAAGUUUAUGUUUGUACGUGAUGCACGUACUCUCUGAUUACAUUUUCUGGUUCGGGCCUAUUGGGUUAGUGUUAUCUCUAACUACAGUUGAAAAAUUAAAAGAGAAAAAUAAUAGGUUCUUUUAGAAGAGGAAAACAAACUGUUCACUUAGUUGUACUAUUUCCAUUUAUUAUCCAUGAACAGGGGUUACUAGGAGAUGGAGCAACGAAAAUUUUGUAGCAUUUUUUUUUCUUUUGCAAUAGAUUAUCCAUGUUUAGCAAAAGAAAUUCUUUAUUGCAUACCUUAUACACCAUUCUUUCCUUUUGGGGGAAUAUAAGGGCACACUUAAUACGAUCAUGUUAACUAGUUUAUGUUUGUAUCUGAGAAUGCAUAGCUGAGAAAAAUCUGGAGAAAAAAAAGAGAAAAAAAAAAUCUAAAUAAAGGUUAAAGACAAAUAAAUUGAAAAAAGGAAAAAAAUAAAGAAAUAGAUAAUGGUUGAGAAAAAAGAAAAAGAGAAAAAAAUAAAAGGUUUAGACAAAUAAAUUAAAACAUGAAAAAAAAGUUAAAGGAAAAAAUAAAAAUUGAAAAUAAUAAAAAAUAAAAUAAUAAAUUUAAAGGAAAAAAAUAAAAAAAAGUGAAAAGAAAGUAGAAUAAUAAAAGUAAAGGAAAAAUAAAAAAGUAAAAAUAAUAAAAACUAAAAUUUGAGAGAUAAAUGAUUAUGGAAAGUUUAAAAAUAUAUUUGAGAAGUAGAGGGGCAAAGUGGUACUUUUAGUAUAUUAAAAAGUAAGGAAGACUAUUUUUCAAAGACAUUCUUAUUUGGGGUCAAAUAUCUAAAGUCACCCAUAUUUGAGUCUAUGACAUGCAAUUUCCUGGAGUUUCCUUUUUUAGCCAUUUGGCCCAAUUGGUCACAUGUAGUCUCUAUACUCAAUUGAUACACUUUUAUACCACAUUGAUACACUUUUAUACUAUAAUGAUACACUUUUUAAAAAAGAGAAAGAAAAUUCUAUGCAAGGACAUGCAGCCCCUAUAUCCAAUUGAUACUCUUUUAUAACACAUUAAUGCACUUUUAUACUACAUUGAUACACUUGCAGUGUCCAUAUACUCAAUUGAUACUCUCUUAUACUAGAUUGAUACAUUUGUAGAAUGCAUGUAAAAACUAUAUAGCGUCGUAUAAAAUAUGUAUCUAAAUAUUAAUUAUAGUUAAAAAUUGUAUAUAAUGUGUAUAAAAAUGCUAUAUUAUUAUAUAGAAUAUGUAUAUAAUUAGAAAUUGUAUCAUUAUUAUAUAUAAAUAUAUAACUUUAACAAUUGUAUUAUAUUAAAAGUAUAUGGUAUUUUGCUUUACUGUAUAAAUAAGUAGAACUAAACAAAACAAAUAGUAUGUUAUUUUAAUAAUGUUGGUGAAUGCAAAAUAAUUUGAAAAAAAAAAAAGCAAUUACUCAAUUGUUUAAAAGGAAUAAAAAAGAGUAGAAUUUAAAAAAAAAAAAGAAAGAAAGGAAAAAGGAGCCCGAAAAAGCAUGGGCCAUUAAGGAUGAAAAGUGACAGAAAGGGCCAAAUUGUGUUGUGCCGAAAGUUAGUGAUUACGUGGAUAUACCCAAAACAGAAAGGGCCCAUCCCUUAAUGGCUAUUUACUGAGUAUUUAAUUAUGAGUGCUAUUUUUGUGGUAUUAUUUUAGUUUUAGGUGCUAUUUUUGUCCUUUUCCCUAAAAAAAACUAUUGAAUAUAUUCAGCUAAUGAGCGCAGGUUGGACGAAAACUUUCUGUUUUUGGAGAAAGUGCAACCAGCGGCUGCAUGUGGUCAUUUGGGGCCGCAGUUGGGGUCCGAAAGUGGGCGUCGUUUGAAAAAGUUGCACCUUUUCAUGAAUCAUUGCUUUCUAUUUGAAACAACACUUUUUGGUUAUAAAUAUCUGAUUUUUUUCACAGGUUUUAGUACGAAAAUUUUGAAGUAAAAACACUAUUUUUCUUAUAAAAAUUCAAGUAUGAUAUACAAAUCGUUGAGUGAGUUCGUGAUUCAGCAAAUUUGAGGUACAACUAUUUGUUGAAGUGAAUUAUUUUAUUUUGUGAGGAUAUAUUUCAUUAACCUCGGUACUUGAGGAAAAUUUACAUGGUAUAACCCUAAUAGUGGGUGACUUUUGAUUUUUGAUCCCAAUAAGAAAAGUCUUUAAAGACUGGCUUUCUUUCCUUUAUAAGUAUCUUACAAGUACAAUUUUACCCCUCAAAUAUAUUUUUUAAAUAUUAUGAUGAAAAUAUAUUGAAACUUUAUUUAAAUUUUAACUCAAAAAUAAUUUAUUAAAAAUAUUUUAAAAUGUAUGGACAAACGCUAGCUUAGUUUAGCCAUAACUAGCACCCAACUCCGCUAAGGACCAUUUCAAGUCCGAAGAAGCAUUAUUUCUCUUUCCGUUUACAACUUUUUAUUUUCUUUUUAUUAAACUUUCUUUCUCAUAAUAGUAUCUUUUUACAUCAACAAUUUGCAAUCCGAAGGAUUGAAGACAUUGGUUUUUCAGAUUGCGAGAAGAUUACUUGGAGGCGGCGGUAAUUCAGUUGCACCGCCUAUUGGGUAUUUGGGUUGGACCUUCACUUCCGCAGCUUCCGAAUACAACUUGAUCCACGCUACUCUUUUCCCCGGCGAUUGUAUUGUCCCUGAGAUCGCUGAGUCCGUCAAGCAGGUCGCUUCUUCUCCUUUAUUCCUUUAUUGCUUCUGAUUUCUCUUGAUUUCGAUGGAAAUAUUGCGUUCUUUUGUUAUUUUCCUAGACUAGAUAUAUAUAAUUAGAUGCAGAUUAAUAUUCCCACUGCUUGCAGCAUCUGUUAAAAGAAUAGAUCAGAAUUUUGUUGCUUCGAUGUGUUAUUGUUCAUCCACUCUUUUUUGCCUCUAUUUUCUUGUAACAAAUUUGCACAUUGGAAUAUUAGAUAGUACUUGGUAGGUUGAACCUCUGGUUUGGCCGCUGUCUCUCCCUGUUGCACUCGCGAAAUGCUCCCUUUUCAUAAUUCUUGUCCAAUGUUGAAAUAGAAUUUUGCCCAAAGCAAAACGUUGUAGCGACAUCAUUUGUCUUUUUUGAUAAGUGUGAUAACCAAAAGGCUUUCUUGAGAUAAUGCAGUAACCUUUCUUCAUAAGGGUUGGACAUUUCCUCUUGUCGCGUGUUGUAAGUUUUUCUUAAUUUUAUGGUAAGACCCACUUGUGGGAUUAAACUAGGUAUGUUGUUUUUGUGCUUUAGUCCGAGGGUCCUUCCAAAACAGCUUCUCUACCUUCAUACGGUAGGGGCAAGGCUGUGUACACACUACCCUACAGAUCCCACUAUUGGAAAUAGCAUGUUUUUGUUGUGCUUAUAUUGAUACUCGUACUAAAUCAUAAUUGCAGUAGAGUAAAUGCACUCUUUGGUACCACUACUAUAGCUUCUCUUUUUUGUUUUGGAUGAAAGGACAUGCUACUUCCUUUGUUGAUUU